GGCAGUCGCGUUGGAUGUUGCCAGUGCGAAAUGAAGGACAGUCAAUCCAAAUUUGCCACCUUCAUUGAUGUCAACUUUGUCGCUUGCCAGAACUUUUUCGCCCGUCCCGACCCAACCGAAGGAGGUGGAAAAUCCAUCGCUGGAACAACCGGAACAACAACAACAGCAAUCGAUACAGCCGUUGCAGACGAGCCGGAGCGAUUCGAGUCUGAACGGGGAACGUUCGAAAUGAUUAGCGAGUCGGAAAAUGAGGGAGAGCAGCAGCAGACGCCAAAGGCUAACGUGGUGGCCCCUUUCGUCAGCCGACAGCCGGGCAAGAAAUUCCGCCACGUCCUGGAAAAAGAUUAUCCUCGAAUGGCAACCUGGAUUGUUUUCAACCGCCCAGGCGAAUGGAUACUAGUUUAAACAUUGGAAUUCCGCCAUUUUAUCGCUCGUUUUUUCUUUUUGGAGGAUGAAGACAGUUCCCAUACAGGCACUGAUCGCAACGGCAGCGAAUCGUUGGCGACAGUCGAGUCCUAUUCUGUUCCACCCCGAGGUUAUACUCCGGAUUUUGAAGCCCUCAUCAGAUCCAAUUCUUUGCUGCCACUUCAAAGGUUGCGGUUACCACCGUAACGAUUUCUAAUUUAAGAUAAUCUGAAAAUUGAUUGAUUUGAGGUGAAUCCUUCGCCGCUGUUUAAUAGCCUUUAUCCAUUCGUGAAACUGAAGAGAGAUUGCGGAAAUUCAAGACGCAUCAAUAAGUUAUUUUGUUGUAGAUAAAUUACAAGUGCAUAUCUGGGCUCCCUUCU